rnacentral:rRNA from 1 species
ACUUUAAGCGAGGAGGAGGCUACUUAAUACUGGAUAGUGGACGUUACUCGCAGAAUAAGCACCGGCUAACUCUGUGCCGCAGCCGCGGUAAUACAGAGGGUGCGAGCGUUAAUCGGAUUUACUGGGCGUAAAGCGUGCGUAGGCGGCUUAUUAAGUCGGAUGUGAAAUCCCGAGCUUAACUUGGGAAUUGCAUUCGAUACUGGAGCUAGAGUAUGGGAGAGGAUGGUAGAAUUCCAGGUGUAGCGGUGAAAUGCGUAGAGAUCUGGAGGAAUACCGAUGGCGAAGGCAGCCAUCUGGCCUAAUACUGACGCUGAGGUACGAAAGCAUGGGGAGCAAACAGGAUUAGAUACCCUGGUAGUCCAUGCCGUAAACGAUGUCUACUAGCCGUUGGGGCCUUUGAGGCUUUAGUGGCGC